rnacentral:rRNA from 1 species
CCCUUAGAUGUCCUGGGCCGCACGCGCGUUACACUGAUGCAUUCAACGAGCUUAUAACCUUGGCCGAGAGGCCUGGGCAAUCUUGUUAACGUGCAUCGUGAUAGGGAUAGAUUAUUGAAAUUAUUAAUCUUGAACGAGGAAUUCCUAGUAAGCGCAGAUCAUCAAUCUGCAUUGAUUACGUCCCUGCCCUUUGUACACACCGCCCGUCGCACCUACCGAUUGGAUGGUCCGGUGAAGCCUCGGGAUUGUGGUUCUUGCCGCUUUAUUGUGGCGUGACCGCGAGAACUUGUCUAAACCUUAUCAUCUAGAGGAAGGUGAAGUCGUAACA